rnacentral:rRNA from 1 species
CAACGACUCUCGGCAACGGAUAUCUCGGCUCUCGCAUCGAUGAAGAACGUAGCGAAAUGCGAUACGUGGUGUGAAUUGCAGAAUCCCGUGAACCAUCGAGUCUUUGAACGCAAGUUGCGCCCGAAGCCGUCAGGCCGAGGGCACGUCUGCCUGGGCGUCACGC